CAGUAGCCGCGGGAAAACGGAGGGGGCUAGCGUUGUUCGGAAUUACUGGGCGUAAAGCGCACGUAGGCGGCUUGGUAAGUUAGAGGUGAAAGCCUGGAGCUCAACUCCAGAAUUGCCUUUAAGACUGCCGAGCUAGCAGGUGAGAGAGGUAAGUGGAAUUCCGAGUGUAGAGGUGAAAUUCGUAGAUAUUCGGAAGAACACCAGUGGCGAAGGCGGCUUACUGGCUCAUACUGGACGCUGAGGUGCGAAAGCGUGGGGAGCAAACAGGAUUAGAGACCCCGGUAGUCCCUGUCUCUUAUAU
rnacentral:rRNA from 1 species